rnacentral:rRNA from 1 species
GACGAACGCUGGCGGCGUGCCUAACACAUGCAAGUCGAGGGGCAGCAUAGAAGUAGCAAUACUUUGGUGGCGACCGGCGCACGGGUGAGUAACGCGUAUGCAACCUACCUAUCAGAGGGGAAUAACCCGGCGAAAGUCGGACUAAUACCGCAUAAAACAGGGGCACCGCAUGGUGAUAUUUGUUAAAGAAAUUCGCUGAUAGAUGGGCAUGCGUUCCAUUAGGUAGUUGGUGAGGUAACGGCUCACCAAGCCGACGAUGGAUAGGGGAACUGAGAGGUUGGUCCCCCACACUGGUACUGAGACACGGACCAGACUCCUACGGGAGGCAGCAGUGAGGAAUAUUGGUCAAUGGGCGAGAGCCUGAACCAGCCAAGUCGCGUGAAGGAAGAAGGAUCUAUGGUUCGUAAACUUCUUUUGCAGGGGGAUAAAGUGCGGGACGUGUCCUGUUUUGUAUGUACCCUGAGAAUAAGGAUCGGCUAACUCCGUGCCAGCCGCCGCGGUAAUAC